GAUUAAGUUAUUAAGGGCGCACGGUGGAUGCCUUGGCACUAGAAGCCGAUGAAGGACGUUACUAACGACGAUAUGCUUUGGGUAGCUGUAAGUAAG
rnacentral:rRNA from 1 species